UGGCGCGUGGCCUAACGGUAUGGCACCUGACUCUGGAUCAGGGGGUUCUAGGUUCGAAUCCUAGCGCGCCAGCCA
rnacentral:tRNA from 1 species